UAUUUUGUGGUAUGUGGGCCUUUCACUGUUGCGGCCUCUCCCGUUGCGGAGCACAGGUUCCGGAGCGCAGGCUCAGCGGCCGUGGCUCACGGGGCUAGCCGCUCCACGGCAUGUGGGAUCUUCCCGGACCAGGCACGAAACCGUGUCCCCUGCAUCGGCAGGUGGACUCCCAACCACUGCAUCACCAGGGAAGCCCUUGUUAAUAUAUUUUUGUUAAGGAAUAAUCUAUAUUUAGAUAUUUAAAACAUUUUAGAUAAUUUGGCCUGUUAGAAGGACCCUAUCAUUCCAAUUUAAAGUGAGUAAUUGAAUAACAGUUUUACAUUUGUGAUGUUAAGUUAAAAUUUAAGUUUAGAAAGAGUACAAUUAGAACAUUUAAGAGAAUUUAAGAUUCAUCUUACUUAUAAAUGUAACUUAUUUGAUUCUUUUAUAAGAAUCACUUAAGGAGUGUGGGGUCUCUUUAUGGGGUGAUGCAAAUGUUCUAAGGUUGACUGCGAUGGUGGUUGCACAACUCUGUGAAUACCCUGAGUUAUGCACUUUAAAUUGCACACUUUAAUUGUACUCUUUAAAUGGGUGAACUGUGUGGUAUGACUCAUAUCUAAUAAAGCUGUGAAGAAAAGAAUCACUUGACUUCUUGAGAAGGUUUGUUUGUGAGUCCAUUGUAAUACUGAAAAACAAAAUAUAAUACGUUUAUAAAUUCAGUGUCAGAAUAUUUUUUUCCCGUUUCUGUGUCAGAAUAUUUAAAAGCAUUAGAUUAACUAAGUUAUAAAAGCUUCCUUAAAACUGAUUGUUAAAAUUUGCCAAAUAGAAUAACAGGAUUUAUAAAUUAUAAUUAAAGUUUAAGGCAAAAGUAGGUUUUUAAAAUUUAAUGUUAAUAAAUUGAAUAAUAAUAAAAAACAGAAUAUCUUAUGCAUGCUUAGAACUUCCCUAUGGAGUGAAGAGGAUGAAAUUUAUAGGAUCCUUUAGUCAUUACAACAUAAAUUAGCAGUACUGAGAUCUCUGUAUGAUGGAUUAACAAAAAUUCCAGCAAAAUUGGGGUUGAAAAUCUAGUAAUUCUGAAAUUAGAGUCAACAACUUUAACUGGUACCAACUCAGGCCGGUUAUAUUUCACAGAAUCGAAGCUGACAAAAUGCUAACUUUAUCUGUUUUCUUCACUGUACCAGAAAGAAAAUGACCUAACUCCUACGACUGCUGUGACAAUUAAAUAAGGCAGUACAUGUAAAUGGCUUUGUUAUUGGCACAGAGAAGGUGCUGCAUAAAUAUUAUCUAUUAUUAUUAGCCGGUCAAUGUCAGAACAUCCUAGGUAUAUGCACAGCGUGGACAACAGAUGUCUUCGUUAUUUUUGGGGGGCAUUUAGUGUCCAUUCUCCCUUCCCAAGUCUUGAUUUCCUUUUUGAGAAGUUACCCAUUUCCCAAUGUGCAGUAUCCUUGGUGGAACUAUAUAGGUGCUUGUCCUCAUGGGCAGGCAAGUAAUCCAAGCUAGACUGACUGGAUCCCCAACCUUUACCUCUGGGGAAUGUGAUUCUUGAGUGAGGUGGUACAAGAAAGGAAAAUGUGGAGCUUUCCUGGUGGCGCAGUGGUUGAGAGUCCGCCUGCCGAUGCAGGGGACACGGGUUCGUGCCCUGGUCCAGGAAGAUCCCACAUGCCGCGGAGCAGCUGCGCCCGUGAGCCAUGGCCACUGAGCCUGCGCGUCCGGAGCCUGUGCUCCGCAACGGGAGAGGCCACAACAGGGAGAGGCCCAUGUACCGCAAAAAAAAAAAACCAAAAAAAAAAAAAAAGAAAGGAAAAUGUUUUCUCAUCCAAGGUAUGCGUAGUAUUAGUCCACAGUCACGCAUUUUGUGGUGAGCCUGGGUCCACAGGUGGUCAGCAGGGCCAACGGUCAGACAGCUGAGCAGGACGCGGCACAGAGGACAGCGAGGACAAGCUGGGACCCGCCAGGCGCCUCUGCAUCUGUCUGUUACUGUAUCUGACAACCUCCCAAGAGGUUCUUCUUUGCUCAGCUUUAACUUGGAACAAUACAGAGAAGGGGAUUCUGAGAAAGAAAGCUCCUAAAUAAAUCAAGUUGACAACUACAUAUUCCAGUAUAGUUUUUAAGAAAAUAAAUGGAGAUGAUAUACAUGAACAUGUCAGGGCAGGACCCGGCCCACAGUUAGUGUUUACUAAAAUCUCAUUUAUUUAUCACUGUGUUUGUAAAUCAAGUGACCUGCGCUAAUAGUAUUGAGACUUGAAGUCACUGUUUAUGAUCAUUUUAAACAUGUGAAGAGCUGACACACAUUUUUUUAGAGUGAAUAGCAUUGCUGGUCCCCUGUACCUCCUCCUAUGAACAUAUUUGGAAACUGUUUAUAUGGAUAAGAUAACUUAAUUUGGUUAAAUAUCAAAAACAAUAAAUACAAGUUGUGCAUUUCUUGUAUUUAGAUUUAUUUUCACUAGCCUUGUAAUUGUAUCUUUAGUUUUACAAAUAAGAAUGGUCUUUUUCUCAUUUUCCUAUCAAACUUGUGGUUUGUAUAUGUUAGAGCAAGACCUUUUCCUUCUGCUAUGCUUUCUUCAUCCUGUUUUCUUUCUUUCAGCUUUCCAGCAUAGACUUCAUUAUUUAUUAAAUUACGCCAAUUUACUGCCUGUGUUCUUCUUGCCUGUACUUUUCUUACAAAAGAGGUAGCUAAUUAGCUCUUAGGUAAGACUCUCAGUAAGCAUAAUUGUAUCAGAAGGGUUCUAGUAGGAAACAGAAGGCACGCCCAGCUGGGAUUUUGAAGAUAAUUUAUUGAAGGGGCCAUUUACAGAGGUGAAGAUAGGGCUACGGGAACCAACAAGAAAUGCUGAAGCACUCAGGGACCAGCCACAAUUGAAAGUAAUUACUGCCCUAGGCUUGAAGGGAACAGGGGAGGAAAUGGCCUGGUAGGUGCUGGAACCAAGCAAGAGGAGUCGCCCAACAGGAGCUGUAGCUGUAAAGGGACGAAGCCUCCUCCAGAACUUUCUACUGAAGCAGGGCAGGCGUGAAGGAAGAAAAGUCCACCUUUUUCUCCUGCUCACUGAUCUCCUGCCAAUGCCCCCUCAUUGGCUAAGCCCCAUUAGCAGCGAGAGGACAAUGGGGUGUAGGUGAUGCAGUCUACAGAGGGCGGCUCUGCUGGGGAGCAGAGGACUCACUCAUGUGCAAUUGUGUAUGUGUGAGCACUAAGUGGGUUCUGUGGGCGCCCCUGGGACAGUGUCCGAGAAGCCCCAGAAUAGGGAGCAAGAGAUACUUGGAACAGACUGAGGUGAGGUGCUGUUCCUAACAGGCUGAACGGGAAGCUGGUGGAACUGUCACUGGUCACCAUAGCUGCGCAAGGAUUAGGAGGUGGGGCUAAGAGGCUGAGCAGUGGUGCACAGGAGGUGUCUGGUACAAUUCUGUAACAGCACUGAGCAUAAGCUCUGGUCUUUCUUCCCAACUAGACUAUGGUAGAUGGUGUGAGUGGAAGGGUCACGUCUGCUUUACUUAUCAGUGUAUACACCCCAUUUGUCUUUUCAUGAUUUCUUGCAUUGAGUGAAAACCACAAGUAAUCUCAAAAAAACACUUUAUUAGGAUAGUUUUAACCUUCACCUCAUAAAACCAUUACAGUAGAACAGAAGUUAAUUAGCAGAACACAUAAAUAAAUUUAUUGUGCUUCAUCUUCAGUUAUUAAAGAGUUAACCUCAGCAGUAGACAGGAAGAAAUAAAGCAGCAAUGGAUAGGAUUUCUCUACAGGGGGAUAAUACGCUGAAAAAUUGGUUAUCUUUUUUAUAAUUUUUAGACACACCAGUUCUGUUUCAGGUAUUAAUUAAUCCAAUAAAUUUUUAUGGAACAGCUUUUAGGUUUUUUGUUUGUCAUUGUUGUUAUUAUUAUUAUUUUGAAGCAGCUUUUAGGUUGGAGGUAAUGUACUAGCUAUUUGGGGGAUAAAAGAAUAAAAAGAACCAGACAUAUUUGUGUUUUGUUUGGCAGAAAAAAAAGUCUUAUUGUUUUAAUUUGUUAUCUUUAAUUACUAGUGGGUUAAAAUUUUCCCAUAUACAUGUAUUUUGUAUGAGUUGUGUAUAUAUGUCACUAGCUCAUAUUCUCCAUGUUUGUUUGUAAAGUCUCUUUAUAUAUUAAGAAUACAAAUCCCCUGUCUGGCAUAUUUCUUUUUGCAAACUUUUAAUCUUGGUUUGUUUCAGUUGAAUUUUGAUAUAGCAUAGGGAGUUUAAUUUUUACAAAAGGUUUUUCUCCUUUUUUUUCCCUUUUUUAUUGUAGUAUAAUUGAUUUACAAUGUUGUGUCAAUUUCUGCUGUACAGCAAAAUGAUUCAGUUAAACAUAUAUAUAUAUACAUAUAUACAUUUUUUUCAAUAUAUUCUUUUCUAUUAUGGUUUAUCAUAGGAUAUUGAAGAAAUACAAAUGGUCAAUAGGCACGUGAAAAGAUGCUCAACAUCACUAAUUAUUAGAGAAAGGCAAAUCAAAACUACAAUGAGGUACUACCUCACACUGAUCAGAAUGGCCAUCAUUAAAAACUCUACAAAUAACAAAUGCUGGAGAGGAUGUGGUGAAAAGGGAACACUUCUACACUAUUGGUGGGAAUGAGGAAGAGAUACCAGAGAGCUCUCUCUCUACCAUGUGAGGACACAGUGAGAAGGUGGCUGUCCCCAGGUCAGGAAAGGAGUCUUCACCAGAAACCAAACCCUGCUGGAAUGUUGAUCUUGGACUUCCGGCCUCCAGAACUUCUGCAGGUGCUUUCGGCUGUGGAAAGAGCUCUGAGACUCCAGAGACCUGGGAUCGAAUCUAAAUCCACAGCUCAAUGUAUAACUCUGGGCAAUUUCCUUACUUCUCUGGACUUCACUUUCCAGAAGUGAAUGCAAAAAGAGGUAAGUGCAAAAGAGGUAAGUGGAUUACAUGGUCUCUGAGGCUCCUGGCCAUCUCUAGUUGAGUUUCUUGAGUCUACCAUGUGCUAAGCACUGCACGAGGGACUUUCCAGGUUGUCUUUAUACUAAUUCCAAAAGGUAGAUAAUAGAAUCCCCAUUUUUCACACAGAGUUGAGGGAGAUAGAAUGUAAGAACCCAGAAGGCAAAAGGGAGCCUGGCAUUAUUGGAACAGGACUGAGCAAGGAAAAGAAUUGGAGAUCGCAAGCUCUUAGAAGCAGCUUUACCUAAACUGAAACCCUGGAGCUCACAAGUACUUGACAAUUUAUAGUCCAGUUUCACAAAUAUUCUCUCAGUUCUGCUUCCGCAAAUUCUGUGGGUAGGUAAAAAUGAUAUUUUUAUUCUCAUUUUAAAAGUGAUAAAACAGAGAAGUUAAGUGGCUUGUGCAAGGUCAUAUAGAGAGGAAGUGGUCUUAGAAUUAAUUUCUGGUGAGCAAAUCACAAAGCCAGGCUUUCUGACCUAAUUAUGGUGAUCAUUUUCAAAAUUCAUAUGGCAAUACGUAAAUUGACUAUGCUAAUUCCCCAGUUACUAUAGAGAAAAGGACGCUGAAACUUAAAACUGAGAAGCAUACAUUGGUAAGAAAAUAUUUUUAGAAAUCAAUAUACAAAAUUUACCUAGACUACUCCAUUUUAUAUUCUUAAAAUUCAGUUAAGAAAAUAACUGAAAAUAAUAAAAUAAUUCAAUUUUAUUUUAUAACCAUUGUUUUAAUUACUGCCUCUUUUCAUUUUUAAAUAAUAUUGCAUUUAGGAUAUUGGCAAUAAGUAUUGUUUAAAAUGAGUAACGGACUCUGCUCAGCAGGUGAAGAGUUUCAAGGGAAUAAGAAGAACGAAAUAUUUACCAAUAUGGUGAAUAUCUAGUUUUAGUUCAGUUUGUGAACAGAUGACAGGCCCGUAAGUCCAUGAAGGGACCAUAUUGCUUCAUGUGUUUGUUUUUGUUUGUUUGUUUUUUGCGGUACGCGGGCCUCUCACUGCUGUGGCCUCUCCUGUUGUGGAGCACAGGCUCCGGACGCGCAGGGCCAGCGGCCAUGGCUCACAGGCCUAGCCGCUCCGCGGCAUGUGGGAUCCUCCUGGACCGGGGCACAAACCCCUGUCCUCUGCAUCGGCAGGUGGACUCUCAACCACUGCGCCACCAGGGAAGCCCCAUGUGUUUUUAAGAUGGAGAAGUCCUACAAUAUGCCAUCUGUGAGUUGGAGAACCAGGAGAGCCAUGGUGUAAUUCCAUCCAAGUCUGAAGGCUCAAGAACCAGAAGCACUGAUGUCCCAGCUCAAGCAGAGGCAGCAAAUUCACUCUUCCUCUACUGGGGCCCUCAAUGAAUUAGAUGAUGCCUACCCACACUGAAGCUGGAACUACAUACUUCGUCUAAGGGAAGAACUCUACAAGAAAGGGAAAUUAUGCCCAUAAAUUUGGUGAAAUGUAUCCAGCCAGGAGGUCUUUGGGAAUUCAUCCAUGAGGUUUCUCACUCACUUUCCUCAACAAUGCUUAGAGCCAUUUAAGAAUGAUGAAGAAAACUGCAAUUCAUUGUGUGCCUCCGUACGACUGCCAAGUCUGAACAGCAUCAUCAACAGGCUUUUCUUCCUGAAGCUUUGGCUCAGCCAAUUCUAAGUCUCCUAAAGAUUACUUUUUACCCUCAGCCUCUAUCAAGGCAUUUUCACAAACCAAGACCAUUCUCUCUCUGAGAAGCAUUUUGAGAACAGCUGUUAAAGCAAUUUAAAAACUUCCUACCUCAUUUUAUCCUCAGUGCUUGGCACUUGAAAUAGCAAAUAGUUGAUAUUUGAUAAACAUUUUUGCUGAAUGAAUAAAUGAUAUAUUUGAGGCACUAAGAGCAUUGAACUGGGAAUGAGAAGAGCUAGGCUUUUGUGACUUGGGUUUGUGAUCCUGGAUAUAGGAAAAAUUGCUUCCAACUUUUUUUCCCUCCUCAGAGAUAGAGGAUGGUCAACCAAGAGGUUUCAAAGGUCUUGCCCAUUGCUCUACCUUGUAGUUCUAUCUUUUUAAAGGGGGCUAGGGGUGCUUUCCCCAGUGCUGUGCACUUAAUAGAUGCUAAAGAAGUAUGUGAAUAUAUCAUAGUUUAUCUAAUAUUCAAUUAGAUAUCGAAAGUAUCGAAAUGUAGCCAAAAUUUAAAUACAUGUUUAUAAAUUCACUUCAAAAGUGUGGGUAAGAUGAAAAAGUCAAAGUUUAAGGCAAUCUGUCACACUAAAAGAACACAUAUUUAUGAAUCUAGAUAUUAAUCCUAAAUAUUAAAGGCAGAAAAUAUAGAUUCUAGGGAUCAAAGGGAAAAAAACCAUUUGGUGAUCAUUUCUUAGGGAACUAAUAUACUUCUUGAAAAUAGGGGAUCCUUGGGGAGUUCCCUGACAGUCCAGUGGUUAGGGCUCUGUGCUUUCACUGCCGAGGGUGUUGGUUCAAUCCCUGAUUGCGGGGGGGGGGGGGGGCUCCCGCAAACUGUGCAGCAGGGCCUAAAAAAAAGUGUCCAAAAGGAAAAUAAGCAUGAAAAUAUUUUUUAAAAAGCCUUUAAAAUAAGGAACCUGUGAUUAACUUCUCUUUUUAAAAAAGAAAAGUAUAUUCAUAUUGGACUUGAGGCAAUAAGUUGCUUAUUAGGUGCGUCCUUUAUUCUAUACUCUUAUAUAUUGAUUUCUGUAAGAAGGUAACUGUCUACACUGAUUUUUUUCUUUUUAAUCAAAUGCCCCCGUCUAAUUGCUAUACAUCAAAAGAAUCCAUGACACUGUCUGUUUCAAGUAAGUUAGUUCCUUCAGAAUUGCUCUACAAUGCUCCCCAGAGCCAGGAGAGGUAAAUUUAGAUUUAUAAAUUAUGAGGAAAAAAAGGGAUACGUAUGCAUAUAUAAAUGACUCACUUUCUAUAAAGCGGUCUCCUACUUUGUUGUGAGAGUAGAGGUCAAAAGAGAGGAGGCAUACUUUACAUAAAUUCUUUUACUGAAAAGAAAGUCUUCGGGAAUUUAAAAAACUAACAAGUGAAAGAUGUACAAAACCCCAAAUUCUCCUAUCAUUGUGUAGUUGGGUAAUUUAUUUUUAUGAUUUAAAAUAUUUGAACCGGGCUUCCCUGGUGGCGCAGUGGUUGGGGGUUCGCCUGCCAGUGCAGGGGACAUGGGUUCGUGCCCUGGUCCAGGAGGAUCCCACAUGCCGUGCAGCGGCUGGGCCCAUGAGCCAUGGCCGCUGAGCCUGUGCGUCCGGAGCCUGUGCUCCACAACGGGAGAGGCCACAACAGUGAGAGGCCCGCGUACCACAAAAAAAAUAUAUAUAUAUAUAUAUAUAUA